GCUUGCUCUGUGGGAUCAGUGGCGAACGGGUGAGUAACACGUGAGCAACCUGCCCCUGACUCUGGGAUAAGCGCUGGAAACGGCGUCUAAUACUGGAUAUGUGACGUGAUCGCAUGGUCUGCGUCUGGAAAGAAUUUCGGUUGGGGAUGGGCUCGCGGCCUAUCAGCUUGUUGGUGAGGUAAUGGCUCACCAAGGCGUCGACGGGUAGCCGGCCUGAGAGGGUGACCGGCCACACUGGGACUGAGACACGGCCCAGACUCCUACGGGAGGCAGCAGUGGGGAAUAUUGCACAAUGGGCGCAAGCCUGAUGCAGCAACGCCGCGUGAGGGAUGACGGCCUUCGGGUUGUAAACCUCUUUUAGCAGGGAAGAAGCGAAAGUGACGGUACCUGCAGAAAAAGCGCCGGCUAACUACGUGCCAGCAGCCGCGGUAAUACGUAGGGCGCAAGCGUUAUCCGGAAUUAUUGGGCGUAAAGAGCUCGUAGGCGGUUUGUCGCGUCUGCUGUGAAAUCCGGAGGCUCAACCUCCGGCCUGCAGUGGGUACGGGCAGACUAGAGUGCGGUAGGGGAGAUUGGAAUUCCUGGUGUAGCGGUGGAAUGCGCAGAUAUCAGGAGGAACACCGAUGGCGAAGGCAGAUCUCUGGGCCGUAACUGACGCUGAGGAGCGAAAGGGUGGGGAGCAAACAGGCUUAGAUACCCUGGUAGUCCACCCCGUAAACGUUGGGAACUAGUUGUGGGGUCCAUUCCACGGAUUCCGUGACGCAGCUAACGCAUUAAGUUCCCCGCCUGGGGAGUACGGCCGCAAGGCUAAAACUCAAAGGAAUUGACGGGGACCCGCACAAGCGGCGGAGCAUGCGGAUUAAUUCGAUGCAACGCGAAGAACCUUACCAAGGCUUGACAUAUACGAGAACGGGCCAGAAAUGGUCAACUCUUUGGACACUCGUAAACAG
rnacentral:rRNA from 1 species